GAUUUCUCAAUGGAAGAGGAAUGGAACCUCUGAGGACAGGGACUGUUUCUUGAGCCAUAUUACAGGUCCACAGCCCGGCUCUUAUUUGACUGCAUGUUGAGCUCCGUCAACUGUCUAGCAAAUGAAAGAUGUUCCAUGGGGAUUUGUGGAUCAAGGAAUGACGAGAUGACCACAAGAUAACCCAGGCUCAACAAGAUGAC
rnacentral:lncRNA from 1 species